rnacentral:rRNA from 1 species
AGAGUUUGAUCAUGGCUCAGAUUGAACGCUGGCGGCAGGCCUAACACAUGCAAGUCGAGCGGAAACGAGAAGUAGCUUGCUACUUCGGCGUCGAGCGGCGGACGGGUGAGUAAUGCCUGGGAAAUUGCCUUGAUGUGGGGGAUAACCAUUGGAAACGAUGGCUAAUACCGCAUAAUGCUUUUGUUUGUAGUGAACGGGAGCCAAAGAGGGGGACUUUCGGGCCUCUCGCGUCAAGAUAUGCCCAGGUGGGAUUAGCUAGUUGGUGAGGUAAUGGCUCACCAAGGCGACGAUCCCUAGCUGGUCUGAGAGGAUGAUCAGCCACACUGGAACUGAGACACGGUCCAGACUCCUACGGGAGGCAGCAGUGGGGAAUAUUGCACAAUGGGCGCAAGCCUGAUGCAGCCAUGCCGCGUGUAUGAAGAAGGCCUUCGGGUUGUAAAGUACUUUCAGCAGUGAGGAAGGUGGAUAUGUUAAUAGCACAUUCAUUUGACGUUAGCUGCAGAAGAAGCACCGGCUAACUCCGUGCCAGCAGCCGCGGUAAUACGGAGGGUGCGAGCGUUAAUCGGAAUUACUGGGCGUAAAGCGCAUGCAGGUGGAUGAUUAAGUCAGAUGUGAAAGCCCGGGGCUCAACCUCGGAAUAGCAUUUGAAACUGGUCAUCUAGAGUACUGUAGAGGGGGGUAGAAUUUCA